AUAGAACGCUGGCGGCAGGCUUAACACAUGCAAGUCGAGCGAGCGGCGGACGGGUGAGUAAUGUAUGGGAAACUGCCUGAUGGAGGGGGAUAACUACGGGAAACGGUAGCUAAUACCGCAUACACUCAGCUUGGCCCAGAUGGGAUUAGCGAGUGGUUGGGGUAAUGGCUCACCUAGGCGACGAUCCCUAGCUGGUCUGAGAGGAUGACCAGCCACACUGGAACUGAGACACGGUCCGGACUCCUACGUGAGGCAGAAGUGGGGAAUAUUGGACAAUGGGCGCAAGCCUGAUGCAGCCAUGCCGCGUGUGUGAAGAAGGCCUUCGGGUUGUAAAGCACUUUCAGCGAGGAGGCGUUACUCGCAGAAGAAGCACCGGCUAACUCCGUGCCAGCAGCCGCGGUAAUAC
rnacentral:rRNA from 1 species